rnacentral:rRNA from 1 species
AUUGAACGCUGGCGGCAUGCUUUACACAUGCAAGUCGAACGGUAACAGGCCUUCGGGUGCUGACGAGUGGCGCACGGGUGAGUAAUGCAUCGGAACGUGCCCAGAGGUGGGGGAUAACGCAGCGAAAGCUGUGCUAAUACCGCAUGUGAUCUGAGGAUGAAAGCGGGGGACCAGGCAGCAAUGUUUGGCCUCGCGCCUUUGGAGCGGCCGAUGUCAGAUUAGGUAGUUGGUGGGGUAAAGGCCUACCAAGCCGACGAUCUGUAGCUGGUCUGAGAGGACGAACAGCCACACUGGGACUGAGACACGGCCCAGACUCCUACGGGAGGCAGCAGUGGGGAAUUUUGGACAAUGGGCGCAAGCCUGAUCCAGCAAUGCCGCGUGCGGGAAGAAGGCCUUCGGGUUGUAAACCGCUUUUGUACGGAACGAAAAGGCUCUGGCUAAUACCUGGGGCUGAUGACGGUACCGUAAGAAUAAGCACCGGCUAACUACGUG